rnacentral:rRNA from 1 species
GUCUACAGUGAUGCCACCGUGAAUGUGCCUAAUCUCGUCUGAUCUUGGAAGCUAAGCAGGGUCGGGCCUAGUUAGUACUUGGAUGAGAGGCCACCCAAGAAUACUGGGUGCUGUAGGUG